GUCUGGGUGGCUCAGUCAGUUAAGCGUCUGAUUUGGUCGGCUCAGGUCAUGAUUUCAUGGUUCGCGGGUUCGAACCCCGCACCAGGCU
rnacentral:tRNA from 1 species